GACCAGACUCCUACGGGAGGCAGCAGUGGGGAAUAUUGCACAAUGGGGGAAACCCUGAUGCAGCGACGCCGCGUGAGCGAAGAAGUAUUUCGGUAUGUAAAGCUCUAUCAGCAGGGAAGAUAAUGACGGUACCUGACUAAGAAGCCCCGGCUAACUACGUGCCAGCAGCCGCGGUAAUACGUAGGGGGCGAGCGUUAUCCGGAUUCACUGGGUGUAAAGGGAGCGUAGACGGCCAAGCAAGCCAGGGGUGAAAGCCCGGGGCCCAACCCCGGGACUGCCCUUGGAACUGCAUGGCUGGAGUGCGGGAGGGGCAGGCGGAAUUCCUGGUGUAGCGGUGAAAUGCGUAGAUAUUAGGAAGAACACCAGUGGCGAAGGCGGCUUGCUGGACAGUAACUGACGUUGAGGCUCGAAAGCGUGGGGAGCAAACAGGAUUAGAUACCCGAGUACG
rnacentral:rRNA from 1 species